rnacentral:rRNA from 1 species
CGCGGCCUAUCAGCUUGUUGGUGAGGUAAUGGCUCACCAAGGCUUCGACGGGUAGCCGGCCUGAGAGGGCGACCGGCCACACUGGGACUGAGAUACGGCCCAGACUCCUACGGGAGGCAGCAGUGGGGAAUAUUGCACAAUGGGCGCAAGCCUGAUGCAGCAACGCCGCGUGCGGGAUGACGGCCUUCGGGUUGUAAACCGCUUUCAGUAGGGACGAAGCUAACGUGACGGUACCUACAGAAGGAGGACCGGCUAACUACGUGCCAGCAGCCGCGGUGAUACGUAGGGUCCGAGCGUUGUCCGGAAUUAUUGGGCGUAAAGGGCUUGUAGGCGGUCCGUCGCGUCAGGAGUGAAAACUCGGGGCUUAACCCCGAGCCUGCUUUUGAUACGGGCGGACUAGAGGGAUGCAGGGGAGAACGGAAUUCCUGGUGGAGCGGUGGAAUGCGCAGAUAUCAGGAGGAACACCGGUGGCGAAGGCGGUUCUCUGGGCAUCACCUGACGCUGAGAAGCGAAAGCGUGGGGAGCAAACAGGCUUAGAUACCCUGGUAGUCCACGCCGUAAACGGUGGGCACUAGGUGUGGGGGACAUUCCACGUUCUCCGUGCCGAAGCUAACGCAUUAAGUGCCCCGCCUGGGGAGUACGG